rnacentral:tRNA from 1 species
AUAAAUAUAGUUUAUAAAAACAUUAUAUUUUCAUUAUAAAAAUAUUAAUAAAUUAAUUAUUUAUG